AAAACAUGGCUAAAAACUUAUUUCAAACGAAAAGGCCAAAAUAUAGUUUACAGUUUCACUGUUAGACUGUAAGUUUGUAACCUGCCAAGUCCAUGUCCAACUCCAACACCAAUUUAUUUCUUCAACCCGUUAAUGUAGGUAAAAUCCCACCAUCACCACUCAUGAAAAUCCAAAUCCAAUUCAAAGCGUAACCCAAUUUAGAAUACGAAUAACCACCUGAACUCCAAGUUUUGCGCGUGCGUGUGACCACCACUUACUAGUCCUUGUUUGCAGAUUCUGAUCCCCCUUUACACUCUUCUUCUCCCACAUUACAUACAUUACAUAUGUACAUACAUAUAUAAGCUUCUGUUGACACUUAGAUCCUUCUCUUUUUAGUUUCACAGGAACCGAAACAAUCAACGAACCCAUUGACAUAAGUUACAGAGGCGAACACACGAGAGUAAAAGUGUCAUCUACAUUGAAGCGAAAGGGUAUCUGUCAUUUUUAUUAGACUCCUCGGAGACUAAUCAUGAGUCUAGCAUGUCUAGUGUGCCAUAACGUCGAAAGUCCAUCACACUCCUUCAGGAGUUAUUCCGUUUCAAGUUCAGACAAUGAAGGGAGAUGUUUGGCCAUAGCCAACUGCUUAGCCAGGAAAGCUCUUCCAGCUCCAAGAUCAGCUUCUUCAAUAGGGUCCUCAUCCAAAGUCACCCCACAGCCCUGUAUUCAAGGCAGCAUGGGAAUGGAAGGCACUCCACGGCUAGUCCGGAGUUGUGCAGUGAGAAGGGACAUUGUUCGAGACUGGAAUUUUGAUGAGUUGGCAACAGACCGUUAAUUAUUAUCCCUUUUCUUUUUUCUAUUAAAUCCAAGGUCUAAGAGGGGAGGACUCUCUUCUUUGAUCUUGGAAUAGUAUUAGAGCUUUUGUAUUAUAUUUUCUAUUUUAGAAUUUGUAAUGGUUGGAAUUGAACUCACUUUGAAUGUGAAACAUUGUUUAUGUCCA